AGCCCAGCUCGCGCCCCAGCUGAAAGUGGGGAUCAGCGCUGCGCGUGACGGUGGGAGGCGAGGAGACGGACAGUCACCCCCAGAGACACAAGGUCCUUUCCAGGUCACCUGGGGAUGCGUCCGCCGCUCCUAAAUCGAACGCGCCCACGCUUGAGAUGGGGACAGUCCUGGGACCGCCCAGGCAGGGCUGGAUUCCUCGAAAAGUCCCGCCACGCCCCGGCCACCCCCAGCCCCGUGAACCUCACAAAGUGCUGAGUAACGGUGACCAGGAAGUUUCUCGUGAUGAAAAAGGGAGAGGAAGAGAGAAGAGAAAAGAAAAAGGAAAAAGAAAGAGAAACCUUUCCCAUGGAAGCCAGAUCCUAGCCUUGUGUAAGAUGCAACUCUAUUAAAGAAAUCUUACUAACCCCGUGUAAGGCAGAACUGAAAUAAUAGUGAAGAAAACUGAACAUCCGCCUGCUCCAACAUGUAGAGAGACGCUACAGAACGUAAAAUGCCUGCGCUGCCAAAGGGAUUCCGUGUGACAUCUGCCACAUGUGCGCAUGAAAUUCAUUCUCCAUCCUGUUCUCCUCUACAGACAUUUUCACAGCUGCUCUUUCCAGAGGGCCUGUGGCUUAUGCGGAACCUGCAGAUGCAGACGGCCGACUGUACUCGGUUUUCCAUGAAUACUGGGACAAGUUGGAAGGGAAAUGUGUCCUAAAUCAAAAGUUCUUCAGCCUUAAAUGGGAUUGAUUCUAGAAAAGAAAGGAAACCUGCAUUUGUCCCCUUAAGAUCAUUCAUCUUCUCAACCUGGUCCACUUCCAAGAGGAUGGAGAAGAAGCAAGAACCCGGCGAACAGCUUCAAACGUCGGGGACAAAUUUCUUUUUUUUUUUUUUCCUUUUUUUUUUGCAACCCAUUCAGAUUUUUACUGGACAUUCAUGGCAGAAAGAGGCGAUGUGCAUCCAACCGCGUCGCGCAGCCCAUCAGCUGCCCAGUGCCGCUGACGCGUGCAGAAGCAUUCUCUGCAGUGGCCCUUGUGGGCGCCGGGCCCUCACCCGCGCCGAGGCCCUCAUCCACAGCACUGCACCUUCUUUGUAGAAGCAGAACCCCAGACUCAGAGCGCAGCUCACCCUGAUAACUGUGUUCCCAGCGGGCAGGCCCUCUAGAAGAUGGGGGAAAUGACACAUUCCUGUCACUCAGGCCCAGACACAAGCCACAGUCACCCUUCCCAAGGGCAUCCACGGCCUGUGGGACCCGGCUCCAUUCAGCAGAGCCUCAGUGCUUGGGUCAUCUCGACAACCCAGGGUCACAGCCCACAUGGCCCUGCCCAUAGCCCCCCCGCUGUCCACGCACUGCCCGGAGAACCAGCAGCAAAUAGGUGGAAGAACCAUCCAGUGCCUGCUGCCCAGGGCUGCAGCAAGCAAGGAGGAGCCAGGGACCACCACCAGGCAAGUGAGACCCAGUGCCGCUUCCAUGUGGGCAAAGCUGCCGCCACCCUGGCCUGUCCAGGACGGCCGCAGAGGCCCCACUUCGUCCUGCAAAGGAGGGAGCCUGUGGCCCUCCCGGCUUUGCCAGAUGCUCCUGCCCGAGGGCCUGCAUCCUGUAGUUCCCCAGUGAGGUAACCCGGUCUCCCACCAGGUGCCCGGUCGGUGGUAGGGGACAAAUUUCUAACCAGCAGGUACCUACAGGAAAUACAGGAAACCUCGGAAUGUAAUUCUUUUAGGAAAUACAUCUCUCCUAACUGGCCACCAGCACCUUUUCAUUUGCCCUCUUGAAUAGUAAAAGUCAAAUUCCAGAGGCAACUAAUCAAUUUCCCACCCCAUUCCUUAAAAAGGCUCUUGGCCCGGUGUGGUGGCUCAGGCCUGUAAUCCCAGCACUUUGGGAGGCCGAGGCGGGCGGAUCACGAAGUCAGAAGAUCGAGACCAUCCUGGCUAACACGG